rnacentral:rRNA from 1 species
AGUAAAAGUCGUAACAAGGUUUCCGUAGGUGAACCUGCGGAAGGAUCAUUACGCGUAUUAGGGUGCUCCGGCGCUCUUUACACACCCACCCUUUGCCUAUGUGUACCUUCAUAGCUUCCUCGGCGGGCCCGCCCCGCCGCCAGGAACCCACGAAACCCCUUGCAUCCUACACGAAAACUUCUGAUCACAAGCUAAAUUAUCACAACUUUCAACAAUGGAUCUCUUGGUUCUGGCAUCGAUGAAGAACGCAGCGAAAUGCGAUAAGUAGUGUGAAUUGCAGAAUUCAGUGAAUCAUCGAAUCUUUGAACGCACAUUGCGGCCAUAGGUAUUCCUUUGGCCAUGCCUGUUCGAGCGUCAUUUACACCCUCAAGCCUAGCUUGGUGUUGGGCGUCUGUCCCGCCGCAUCUCGCGGCGCGGACUCGCCUCAAAGUCAUUGGCGGCGGUCGUGCCGGCCCCUGAGCGCAGCACAUUUGCGCUUCUCGGAGGCCCGGCGGAUCCGCGCUCCAGCAAGACCUUUCACGACUUGACCUCGGAUCAGGUAGGGAUACCCGCUGAACUUAAGCAUAUCAAUAAGCGGAGGA